rnacentral:lncRNA from 1 species
UGACAUAAGGUAGAAACUCAGUUUUCAAUGUUUCACAGUUAAUACUCUGUUUGUUUUUUUUGUAGGUAUGUCAUUGUGUGUUUAUAGAGGUAUGAAAAAUGACCUGGCUCAGAAAACCUUAAUGAAGCUAACUCAGAGAAAGGAUCCUGAUAGUUAGACAGGAAAGUGACAGCUGCAGGAUUAGUGAAUAAAAGGCACAACUUAAAACUGUACA